rnacentral:rRNA from 1 species
AUUGAACGCUGGCGGCAGGCCUAACACAUGCAAGUCGAGCGGAGCGGCGGACGGGUGAGUAAUGCCUAGGAAUCUGCCUGGUAGUGGCGGACAACGUCCGGUAACGGGCCCCAUUACAGCAUACUUUCAGAUGAGUUUAGGUGGGAUUUGCUAGAUGGUGGGGUAAUGGCUUACCAAGGCGACGAUCCGUAACUGGUCUGAGAGGAUGAUCAGUCACACUGGGACUGAGACACGGUCCAGACUCCUACGGGAGGCAGCAGGGGGGAAUAUUGGACAAUGGGCGAAAGCCUGAUCCAGCCAUGCCGCGUGAGUGAAGAAGGUCUUCGGAUUGUAAAACACUUUAAGUUGAGAGGCGGUACCUACAGAAGAAGCACCGGCUAACUCCGUGCCAGCAGCCGCGGUAAUAC